rnacentral:rRNA from 1 species
CAGCCGCCACGGGAACACGACGGGUGCAAGCGUUAAUCGGAAUUACUGGGCGUAAAGCGUGCGUAGGCGGUUUGUUAAGUCUGCUGUGAAAUCCCCGGGCUCAACCUGGGAAUGGCAGUGGAUACUGGCAAGCUAGAGUGUGUCAGAGGAUGGUGGAAUUCCCGGUGUAGCGGUGAAAUGCGUAGAGAUCGGGAGGAACAUCAGUGGCGAAGGCGGCCAUCUGGGACAACACUGACGCUGAGGCACGAAAGCGUGGGGAGCAAACAGGAUUAGAGACCCGAGUAGUCCCUGUCUCUUAUAC